GUGGGGAAUAUUGGACAAUGGGCGAAAGCCUGAUCCAGCCAUGCCGCGUGUGUGAAGAAGGUCUUCGGAUUGUAAAGCACUUUAAGUUGGGAGGAAGGGCAGUAACCUAAUACGUUAUUGUUUUGACGUUACCGACAGAAUAAGCACCGGCUAACUUCGUGCCAGCAGCCGCGGUAAUACGAAGGGUGCAAGCGUUAAUCGGAAUUACUGGGCGUAAAGCGCGCGUAGGUGGUUCAGUAAGUUGGAAGUGAAAUCCCCGGGCUCAACCUGGGAACUGCUUUCAAAACUGCUGAGCUAGAGUACGGUAGAGGGUGGUGGAAUUUCCUGUGUAGCGGUGAAAUGCGUAGAUAUAGGAAGGAACACCAGUGGCGAAGGCGACCACCUGGACUGAUACUGACACUGAGGUGCGAAAGCGUGGGGAGCAAACAGGAUUAGAUACCCUUGUAGUCC
rnacentral:rRNA from 1 species